UGACCGCUGGCGGCGUGCCUAAUACAUGCAAGUCGAGCGACCAGACGAGGAGCUUGCUCCUCUGACGUUAGCGGCGGACGGGUGAGUAACACGUGGAUAACCUACCUAUAAGACUGGGAUAACUUCGGGAAACCGGAGCUAAUACCGGAUAAUAUAUUGAACCGCAUGGUUCAAUAGUGAAAGACGGUUUUGCUGUCACUUAUAGAUGGAUCCGCGCCGCAUUAGCUAGUUGGUAAGGUAACGGCUUACCAAGGCGACGAUGCGUAGCCGACCUGAGAGGGUGAUCGGCCACACUGGAACUGAGACACGGUCCAGACUCCUACGGGAGGCAGCAGUAGGGAAUCUUCCGCAAUGGGCGAAAGCCUGACGGAGCAACGCCGCGUGAGUGAUGAAGGUCUUCGGAUCGUAAAACUCUGUUAUUAGGGAAGAACAAAUGUGUAAGUAACUAUGCACGUCUUGACGGUACCUAAUCAGAAAGCCACGGCUAACUACGUG
rnacentral:rRNA from 1 species